rnacentral:tRNA from 1 species
GGGGAUUUAGCUCAGUGGUAGAGCGCUUGCCUAGCAACCGCAAGGCCCUGGAAACCCCA